ACCUGUCUGAAAAGCCAGUCGACACCUACGGGACAUGAGGAGAGUCUGGACCUGCACGUCUUUUUGCUCAAAGCUGGAAGCCAGAAGCCCAGGGUCUCUCUUCUCUCCAGCUCUCACCAACUCUGACCAUCAGAAAGCCAGUUCAGAGCAUUGAAGGAUUAAUCUCAUCUGUGGAGGAUAGUCUCAUGCAAAUGGACGUCCUGUUCUAGGUGGCUGAAAGGCAGUUGGAGAAGCCAGAUCAGAGGCCAGAAGAAAGAAAGGCAGAAAAGACUUACACUUCAGAAGAAGAAAAAAGGCUGGGGCCUUUUCCCAUGCCCAAAGAAAGGGACUUGGAAGCUGCUGAAGUUUGAGAUUGGAGGUCCAUCUGGAGGUUUACGCCAGCAGUAUUCUGAAUAUCUGAUCCCUAGGAGGUGCACUUGCUUGCUAGACUGUUGAAUCUUCCUACCUUUUGGUCUUGGUGGCAAUGUGAAGCAGGUGCUCCUGGAAAGGAGAACAGUCCUGCAACAGCAUCCCCACCCUAUCCCCAAAAUAUGGUUAACGACUAAAAAUUUGAUAUGAGUCAACUGCGCAAGAAGGCAGGCAAAAAUGCUGGAGGGCUCUUUGGCUGCAUUAAGAAUGACAGAAUUCUAGAAUUGGAAAGGAUCCCGAUGGCCAUCCAGUUCCCCAUUAUCUGUACUAGAAUGCCCUCUCCAAUGUACCCAGCAAAUGAUCACGCAGACUUUGUAUAAAGACCACCAAUGAUGGGUAUUUAUUAAGCACUUGCCAUGUACCAUGUGCCAAGUACUCUAUGCCUUCUAAUCAAAUGUGAUAAACCACUACAAACCACUUAGCACAGUGGCUGGUACAUAGUAGGUGCUUUAAAAAAAUGUUUGUUCUCUAGCUCAUGUGGAGAGCCCUUUUUGUGGCAUCUAGGACUGGGAGAUGACAGAGGGAACUCUGUGCCAGGGACACGACUGCAGACCGACCACAAGAUGCUUCCUGGCUAAUACCAGCUACCCACAAUUCUCUGAAGUGAAGGACUCUUGGGGGGUUGUAGGAAAAUGCCUGAUUGUCUACAUUUUGUGACUACAUUCUGGGCUCUCUAGGACCAUAUGGGUCCUUGUGGGGAGGAGAAUGCCCUUCCUUCCAUAAAGCAUUCGGAAAACCUGAAUGCCGCAUGUGUGUUCUGUCAUGUGUCCUAUGCGUUUGGUCUAGACGAGUAAGGCACAUGCUGUAGGUGAUUUUAUCUGUUUUGCAUCAUGCUUCUGCAUGGACCAUAAGUCUGUCAUACUUAUUUCUAAUGUGGAUAAUAUGUCACAGGUUCUUGCAGGUCUCCUGUGUAGUUGCAAUGAUUUUGAUUACACUAUGCGCUAAUUGAUGAAUGUAUAUUUUUACAAAUGCAUCCAUGUACCCAGGGUGAUUUGCAGGGAUUGCAAAUUCUUUGCUGGGGGGAAAUUUAAGGAAGCAGUAUGUCCCUGGCCAAAUGAGAGUCAUGGUCUUCUGGUAGUCCUGCCCCCUAGGACUUGCAUGACAAUUCCUACCUGGCUAUGUCAGUCUAAUGAAUGCAGGCUGUUAAGCAGCGGGUAGGGUAUUGAAUCUAGAUAGAGGAUGAAAAUGAUCAAGUCGGGGUUCUGAUGGUGGAACACAUGACGAGAGGCUGAAUACAAGUACCAUUCUGUGGCUUCUGGGGUUUCUUCAACUCUGUGGUUUUGUGACUCUGCAGUCUUUCAUGAGACCCUCUAAGAGGGUGACAAUACUCAUCACCAUCUCCUGAAGGAGUGUGUAAUGUCCCUGGUCAUUAGGCAGAUUAACUCUUACAGGUGAGUUGCUGAUGUGACAUUUGGUCCUUGUGGAGAGAGGCGAUAUCCAAGAUCCCUCAGAUCAACUGCCAUUACUGGUCAUGGGGCAGAUCCAGUCCUUGGAGGAAUGGGUGAUAUGACUGGUUACUAGGCAGAUUUAGUCAUCCAGGAAAGGAAUAACUGAUCAUCUGCUGACUUACUCACUUAGGGGAACAGGUGGCGUUACUAAGGUAUAGAGUUUUGUCCCUUGAGAGAAAGAAUGACACCAUUAGUUUCUAUUCCUGAAUACUUUGUCUUAGGAUGAUCAAGUCAUGCAUUGAUCUCAGUUAAUUUAAUAAGAAAGAAAAGCCUUACACCUGAGUGAAUUGAUUUCAUGAAUACAAGAUAGAGGGAAUGAACAGAUAAGCAUUCAUCUGAAAAAGAUCUGAGAAUCUUAGUGGACCACAAGUUCCUCGUGCAUCCACAGUGUAACAUAUCAACCAACGGAGCUAAUGUUAUCUGAGGUUGUAUAGAAUACCCAGCACAUACUCUGCCUCUGUCAGACCCCCCUCCAGAGUAUUUUGUUCAGUUCUGGGCCCCUUUAAAAAUGACAUUAAUAAGCUGGGGAGUGAGUUGUCUAGAGGAGGAUAACCAGGAUGGCAAAUCUGCUGAAAACUGGGCAGAGUCAGCUUGGAAAAAACUUAGUGAAGGGGUGGGGGAGGCAGUGGAAACCAGAGCGCCAUCUUCUAGUGCUUGAAGGGCAUAUGGAGCAUGGGCAUCUCCUUCUGUUUGUCCCCAGAAGGAAGGAUCCAGAAGCCAAGGUGACAUGUCUCAGAGGCCAGAAAAGGCUUAACUUCAGGAAAACCUUCUUCCCAAGAAGAGUGGCCCCCAAGUGGCAUGGGCUGCCACAAGAGACCCAUCAGGAUGGGCAGGAGGGACAGCAAGAUGAGGCUAAUCCCCAGCAUCACAGCCCACAGCGGGUAGGGAAGCGGCGACUCUGUGGACCGUGAAGACAAAGGUGGCCAAGGUCACUCGGGGUGCCGUGGGGUCAGGACUGAAACCGAGAGAUACUGUGCCUGAAUGGGAGAUUGCUGGGAAGAAGGGAGGGAGGAACACUGGUGAGGGAUGGGGAGAGAGCACGCCUGGCCGCUGGGGGAGGUGACGGCUAGAGGGCCACCUGCUUCCCUGAGGUGAGGGAAGGGGUGAGGACGAGGGUGGCUGCCUGGGUGCCUGAGGGGCAGGGGUGGGCAGGCCUUAGCAGCCCACAGUGCUGCUGUCCCAGGCUCCAUAGAUGGGCUAUGCCAGAAUC